rnacentral:piRNA from 1 species
UCCGGAGUAUUGAUCUGAGCCUCAAAU